GCAUCGAUAGUUCAGUGGCAGAGCGGUGAGGCGUUGGUUGACCCAUUCGGCCCGGGUUCAAGCCCCGGUCGAUGCA